AUACGUAGGGGGCGAGCGUUGUCCGGAAUGAUUGGGCGUAAAGGGCGCGUAGGCGGCGCGGUAAGUCUGGAGUGAAAGUCCUGUUUUUAAGAUGGGAAUUGCUUUGGAUACUGUCGGGCUUGAGUGCAGGAGAGGUAAGUGGAAUUCCCAGUGUCGCGGCGAAAUGCGUAGAGAUUGGGAGGAACACCAGUGGCGAAGGCGACUUACUGGACUGUAACUGACGCUGAGGCGCGAAAGUGUGGGGAGCAAACAGGAUUAGAUACCCUGGUAGUCCACACUGUAAACGAUGAAUGCUAGGUGUAGGGGGUAUCGACCCCUUCUGUGCCGCAGUCAACACAAUAAGCAUUCCGCCUGGGGAGUACGGCCGCAAGGUUGAAACUCAAAUGAAUUGACGGGG
rnacentral:rRNA from 1 species